UUUCCGUAGGUGAACCUGCGGAAGGAUCAUUAAAAAGUAAGGGUCUUCGGGCCCGAUCUCCAACCCUUUGUUUAACUACCAUGUUGCUUUGGCGGGCCCGUCUCACGACCGCCGGAAGUUUGGCUUCGACCAAACUUCUGGCCCGUGCCCGUCAGUGGCCCCUUCAAAUUCUUGAUCAAGUAUGAUGUCUUAGUUAAAAACUUAAUAGUUAAAACUUUCAACAACGGAUCCCUUGGUUCUG
rnacentral:misc_RNA from 1 species